rnacentral:rRNA from 1 species
CAGCCGCCACGGGAAAACGGAGGGGGCUAGCGUUGUUCGGAAUUACUGGGCGUAAAGCGCACGUAGGCGGCUUGGUAAGUUAGAGGUGAAAGCCCGGAGCUCAACUCCGGAAUUGCCUUUAAGACUGCCGAGCUAGUAGGUGAGAGAGGUAAGUGGAAUUCCGAGUGUAGAGGUGAAAUUCGUAGAUAUUCGGAAGAACACCAGUGGCGAAGGCGGCUUACUGGCUCAUUCUAGACGCUGAGGUGCGAAAGCGUGGGGAGCAAACAGGAUUAGAGACCCGCGUAGUCCCUGUCUCUUAUAA